AUUUCUAUGAAUAAUAUGAGGUGAUAAAGCUUGUUAUAUGCAUGAUUGUACUAAAUAUGAAAGCUGGCUCAGUUAAGCAUCUGUUGCACUGUCAAAACUGUAAAAAUGUCCGCCAUUCCAUGUAGGUGAAAUGGGGCUGUGUUUGAAUGUUUAUGCUUUACGCACAAGCUAUUGUUGCGUUACUGGAUUGCGGAGUCCUUGGCGUUGAAUUCUGACUGCAUGUAGCACAAUAACGCUACACGGUCAACCAAAAUGCCUUUGAAUUUAAGUCGGAAAGCAAUUUAGCCCUUAUUCGGCUAUACAAGGGUGGGGGAUCAACUUGAAAAACAACUAUUCCAGGUCAAAUAAUCUGAAUUCAUGCAUUUAAUGCACUAAUUUUCUUCUCUUUUGCUAAGAAAUGACCAAAAAUCAGCUUUCCCAGUCAUAUUUUGCACUUGCAGAUGAUAUUACAUUUUUUACCUAAAGCUAGUUUAGGUUACAAUAUAGUAAAAGAUUUCCUACACAAAUUCAAUGUAAAAGCAAUAACUUUAACGAAAAAUAAAGUCAAACUUUUGCGCAUAGAGACCCUCAUAACCAUACCUUUUCUCGAAGAGCAUUCCAAGCCGAAUUGAUUUAAGCAAUAAAAAAGAUAGGUCACGCGAUAUGUAAGAAAGAACUCGUCACGAAUCAAAAGUCACUGUUUUACGGCCAUCUAUUUACCGGCUUCUAUCCAGUUCAUGAGGGUUUCCCGCCAUCUGUCAAAGUCUUAUGUAGUCUCCAAUCUUCAGAUAAAAGAGUGAAUUUCUAGUAAACAACAAUGUUUUCCCUGCCACAUGCACACAGAAAUAUACUAAAAUAAAGUCAUGGCAAGUGACCCUACAGAGAACCGUGUCUUCAAAUAAAUGAUGUUCAUGUUUUUAGAGAGUAUAGCAUUGCACUCCAAAAAGAUUUAGUAUAUUGUAACCUAAAGGAAAAAUA